GAGUGCCAGCAGGAAGGAAGGAAGGAAGGUAGGUGGCCAGCACUGGCCACCCUUGCCCACCACAGCUCUGCCCAGCUUUUGACUCUUCAGCUUUAGUAAUGGAGAAAAUAUAUUAUUGACUUUCUUCAAUCAAGUACGGGAAAGAAUCUUUAAAUGCUUAUUCAAAAAGGAGAUGCAUUAUUGAAGACUGAUAUGAAAACUACACAAGAGUUUGUUUAAAGGUCAUUUUCAUCUUGUUUUCCCUGUGGCUAUCAGAAUACAGAGCACUUUACAUCUCAGAAAUAAUUACAAAGGAAGACAAAUAAUUACAAAGGAAGAUGCUGAGAAUGGGGCCUUCAGAGACUUACUUUCUUCACUAUAUUAAUUCAUGAAAGGUAUUUUAUAUUAUAUGAACCAGCUGUAAUAGCUUUCCAUAAAAGGUAGUGUGUUUAACCAAUAAUAAAUAAGAUGGAUACCUAUCCCCAAAGGGCUCACAAUCUAAAAGGUUUUACCAGUAGAAUCAACAUAUUAGUGCUUUUCCAAAAACAGCCUUGUGAGAGUAGUGAUUUUUUUUUCUUUUUGCAAAGCCUGAUUUUCCCCUUUUGUAUAAAAAUUAAUGAACUGAAUCUACAGCAAACAUUCACCCCUCUUGGCAAUGCACAUAUUUAUUGUCCAUAUUUCACCCUUCAGCAAGGCAUACACCUUCAAAUAAGCAUUUUGACGUCUUUGUGAGGAAGCAAAGCCCUUGGAGUUGAAAUCUACCAAUAGGAGAGAAGGCAAUCAGAACAGAAUGGUGAAGGCUAGAUUUGUCAUAGCAGGUAUCCUACCAGGAUGAAUUCAAAUAGGUGGUAGCAACACCAAAAUUAGGUCCUAUUGUGAUUAAACUGAUUAACCUACUCAGGUUCAUAAUUUGUAGGAUGGCUCCCUCACUAUACCCAUUUGAAAGUCCAAGUAUGUAAUGUCUACUGAAAUGCUGUUCACAAAUAGUGCAUGCCUAUUUCAUUUAUCUGUCAUUUAAAUGAAGCUGACUUUUUCUUUUUUUGGGGGGGGGGAGAAAGAAUUUAGCUAUUUUUACAGGUAUUGUAAUCUUCCUUUAGCAGAUAGGAGAAAGAAAAAUUGUUCCUUCUUGUCUCAUUUAAUCUCUUUAAGUUCAAUCAUACCACCUUGGUGCACACAAAGAGCCAAGAAUGUCAAUAAAAUACUGAUAAUGGA